CUGCUCCGAGCCGCGGGGCCUAAAGCCAUUGCCAUGGCUGCGCGGCCGUGGGGUUACCCACCGGGGUGCAAACGGAAACGUGCGCGCCUUCCAUUUUUGAAAAGGAGUCAAACAAUG
rnacentral:ncRNA from 1 species